rnacentral:rRNA from 1 species
UACGGGGGGGGCAAGCGUUGUUCGGAAUUACUGGGCGUAAAGGGCUCGUAGGCGGCCAACUAAGUCAGACGUGAAAUCCCUCGGCUUAACCGGGAACUGCGUCUGAUACUGGAUGGCUUGAGUUUGGGAGAGGGAUGCGGAAUUCCAGGUGUAGCGGUGAAAUGCGUAGAUAUUGGGAAGAACACCGGUGGCGAAGGCGGCGCUCUGGACCGAGACUGACGCUGAGGCGCGAAAGCGU